GAGCCGUAUCUCAGUGGAAGAGCAUCUGCCUUGUAAGCAGAAGGCCACAGGUUCAAUCCCCGCUGGCUUCUCCA